ACGUGCUCUAAUUACCUUCUCUCUUUUCCAUCUCAAUUUUAUUGUCAUGUUAAUUUCUUUUAUUUCCCUUAAAAACUGAAAAACGCGUAGAAGUUGUCCUUGGUGGCCAGGAAAACAGCAGCAGCGUGUAAACAUCACCGCGGCGGAACAUGGGACAUGAGUUGCAAAUUUUCUCCAUCCAGAGCCCUCUUCAUAAACGGCGUAAACUAGUAAAGGUACUGCUUGAAUUGCAAUUUUGAAAAAGGUACUCGCCCUGUGGUUUACGUGUCGAGCAGUGAAAAAAUUCUGUAAACAAAUGAGAUGGACACGGACGGAGGGAGUACUGCUUAUUACUAGUAAAGGUUUAACUAUGAAAAAUUACUUACGCGUUCUACAGGUGAUGCACAAAAGAUUAAACCAUCUGCAAGGUACAUGACCCAAAAACAAACUUUUGUGUGCCUUCAAUUUUGUUCCAAGCUGCUCCUGUGUUUAAUAUAUUUAUGUGAGGUCUCUGAAGAGUUUAGAAUGACGGCUAACCUUGACAGGCAGCCCGAAAUUCUGAUAAGCUCUGAUCUCACCUCCCAAUCCUGCUGUCACAAUUACCAAGCCCCAUGCUGUUGCUUCCAUAGUAUGUCCGUGGCAGUGUCCAACAUCAAACCAAGACCACGAUCCUGAGUGUCUACUUGUACUAGAGAUAGAAGACGGAUCAUACCUCGACGAAGUAGAAGCUGUGGAAGCUGAAUCGAAUGAAUCGCCUCUCCCUGACUCAUCACAAGAAAUUUGAUCUAGGUCCUUCUCUGAACAACUCGGAACUCUUUCUAAUUGAUUAUUUUGUUUUGGAAGUGGUGGUAACUGUCUCUUACUGUUAGUUCCUGCUCUCUCUUUGGGCGGAGAAUCGGUGCCUGGUUGGGAAUGUUGGUUUAUGCGUUUUGAGUGCUUUCUGGAGUGUACUUCUACGAUAGGGACCUCAUUUUUUGAACUGCCAGGCCAUGGAAUUGCAACUGAAACAUCCCUACAUUGAAAAUGUUCAUGAGAUGGGAUGCUGACUAUAUUUUUGUUUUUCCUGUGUCCUGCAUUUCGAGACUCUUCACGUUUCCAAAUAUACACUUGAGAAUCUUCACUUGCACUGAUGAUAUAAUUUCCAUCUGGACUGAAUGAAGACGCAAUUUGGCUGCUAGUAUUUUGGAAACCUGUCAGAUUACAUAUCAGUAUAGUUUGGUGAGAACUGGAAAUGACUUGUGCAAUACUCCCAAAGAUGCUAGGACAUACCUCUGAAUUUAUAGGUGAUUUCUGAUCCAUUGAAUAUUCUAAUACGUGAAUCGGCAGAAGUAAUAAGCAUUUCAGACGGAUUUGAUGGAUUAUACUGUGACAAAAUAACUUCAAGGGCUUAGAUUGUUUUAGGGUUGUGUCUAUCGUAGAUUUCAUACGAGACAAGGAAACCAAAGAAGCAAAGAGGCUCACCUGAAAACCUGUGAAUUUCUUUGGCUGGGCUUUUUUCUUGAUUGGAAUUUCUAUGUUCUCUUUCUGCUCGAGCUUGGAAUCUAGGUUACCAGAUUGAUCCAGUUAGGUAAAUAAUAUAUCAAUGUUUGUACUUAAUGACUAAGCUCGAAUAUGGUUCAUGCUUUAGUUACAAAGCUAAAAUUCUAGAUUAUGAAACAUUUGAUCAUAUAAUUAUAUCAUUUAUCUUUUUGUUCUAUGAUUCACAAAAACAGAACUAGGAAAGUACAUAUAUGUUCAAGAUAGUAAGAAGCGGAAAAUAUGUAUGGAAGGAUCAGAUUCAUACCAGCUGUACUGUACAAGCGACAGGUUCCUUUAUGUGAACCAACCACGGCACCCUGAAAUUGAUGACAGUAAAGUGUAUGAAUUUGUGUCAUACUCUCUUUUCCCCCCUACUUAAUUCAUGUUAUUUUUUCAUUCUCAAGAACUAAUGUUUAUCAUAAUUGGUGCUGGCUUCUGUUUCCAGAAAUAACUUUAUCGCGAUUUGCUUCCUGAUUCAACUUAAUUGAAAACUAUGGUUGUUUUGGACUGUAGAAUAGAGUUAAUUGUAAUUAAUAGUCUGUUAAAUUUUCAUAUAAGCAGUUCUAGUGACUGGGUCCUGUACUUAUGAAUCUGUGCGUCAGAGCAGCAUUCCUAAUAAGCUUGUCUACAAUUGAUAGGAGUAAAAGGCUUUUGAGUUUAAUUUGAAUGUUCAUUAUGGAGGCAAGUUUAACACUGGAGGCCUAUGGAUGCAUUGAAUUUUGUGUUUCAGGUGAGAACUUGAAAAGCAAUUGGAGUACCAGAUACCUGGCCGUCGGGAGAAUAACAAACAGCUGUAACCAUUUCACUGAUAUCCAUCCAAUCAACAACUUGCCGAUGAGGGUCAAUGCCGUGAUGUUUAGAAGUGUAACUGUAUGCCAUCUCACCAUAAUCAUUGUGAGCAAACAUCUUUAAACAGUUUUGUGUUUCCAUGUCCCACAGCCUAACUGUCUUGUCCAUGGAAGAUGAAAGCAGGAGCUGCAUGUACAUAAACAUAACAUUAUUGAUUUUGUCCAUGGAGGAUGAAAGCAGGAGCUGCAGCAAGAUGAAAGUACCUACAGUAUAUAUGGAGUAUGCUAACCUGAGAUUUUGACCAAGAGAGAUCCAAAAUAUCAUCCUGAUGACCUGUGAAGGAGCAUAUAGGUCGUUCUGAAAGUCCAAAUACAGUCUCUGGCACUUCGACAUAAUCGGGAAUUGAGUUCCCCCUUUUUUUGCUUGAGUGCCUCCCUUUUGUUCUUUUCUCUGGUUGCAUAGGCUUGAUCUCUGCUGGAGAAUUUACGUCAUCUGGUGGUUUUGCUGACAUAACGUCACAUUCUUGCACUUCCCAUACAUGGAUAACCUUGUCUUCUCCAGCACUGGCAAGGAAACGUGCAUCAGAGCUGAACUUAAUGGUCCAUAUAGAUCCCUCAUGCGCCUGAAUUUCUUGACACAAGUGCAGACCCGUAAAAUCUCUAAAUGGCUUUCCAUGAUGAUGAACUUUAACCCAUUCGGACGAGGAGUUUUUGUUAGAUCGCUGUUCUGGUGUCGAUUGUUCCUGCGAUCUUUCUCUGUCACCUUUAAAUCCACUCCUGGCAUUAGCCUUAUCCUUAAUGUUCUUCAGAAAAGCAACCCCUUUCCUCUUGCUGUUUCUGAACCUCUUACUGAAGAUUGAGCCCGUGUCUCCUUUCGUGUCAUGAUGAUGAUGGCUUCUCACAUUUGCACGACUCAUUGCCUCCUUAACAGAUGGGGAAUAUCCAAUAGACUU